rnacentral:rRNA from 1 species
GAUAAGGUUAAGUUAAUAAGGGCGCACGGUGGAUGCCUUGGCACUAGAAGCCGAAGAAGGACGUGACUAACGACGAAAUGCUUUGGGGAGCUGUAAGUAAGCGCUGAUCCAGAGAUGUCCGAAUGGGGGAACCCACUAGCUACUGGCUAGUAUCCAUAACUGUUAAGGUUAUGAGAAGGAAGACGCAGUGAACUGAAACAUCUAAGUAGCUGCAGGAAGAGAAAGCAAACGCGAUUGCCUUAGUAGCGGCGAGCGAAACGGCAGGAGGGCAAACCGAGAAGUUUACUUCUCGGGGUUGUAGGACUGCGACGUGGGACUUUAAAAGGAUAGAAGAAUUACCUGGGAAGGUAAGCCAAAGAGAGUAAUAGCCUCGUAUUUAAAAUUCUUUUGAGCCCUAGCAGUAUCCUGAGUACGGCGAGACACGCGAAAUCUCGUCGGAAUCUGGGAGGACCAUCUCCCAACCCUAAAUACUCUCUAGUGACCGAUAGUGAACCAGUACCGUGAGGGAAAGGUGAAAAGCACCC